rnacentral:rRNA from 1 species
ACACUGUUGAGCUGUUGGGGGUGGCACAAGCUAGGGGGUAGCGACUGUUUACCAAAAACACAGGAGCGUGCGAAGGCGUAAGCCGCUGUAUACGCUCUGACGCCUGCCCGGUGCCGGAAGGUUAAGAGGAUCCGUUAACUUCGGUGAAGCGGUGAAUUUAAGCCCCGGUAAACGGCGGUGGUAACUAUAACCAUCCUAAGGUAGCGAAAUUCCUUGUCGGGUAAGUUCCGACCUGCACGAAUGGCGUAACGACUUCCCCACUGUCUCGGCCAGGAGCCCGGCGAAAUUGCAGUACGAGUAAAGAUGCUCGUUAAGCGCAGAAGGACGAAAAGACCCCGGGACCUUUACUAUACCUUGGUAUUGUCGUUAGGUGUGGAUCGUGUAGCAUAGGCGGGAGGCUGUGAAGCGUGGGCGCUAGCUUGCGUGGAGUCGACAGGUGAAAUACCGCUCUUUCCAUAUCUGGCGUCUAACCUCAGCACGUUAUCCGUGUUAGGGACAGUGCCUGGCGGGUAGUUUAACUGGGGCGGUUGCCUCCUAAAGAGUAACGGAGGCGCUCAAUGGUCCGCUCAGCCCGGUUGGCAAUCGGGUGUUGAGUGUAAUCGCACAAGCGGGCUUGACUGUGAGACUGACGGGUCGAGCAGGGACGAAAGUCGGAGAUAGUGAUCCGGUGCCGGCGUACGGACGUGGCAUCGCUCAACGGAUAAAAGGUACCCCGGGGAUAACAGGCUGAUCAUUCCCAAGAGUCCAUAUCGACGGGAUGGUUUGGCACCUCGAUGUCGGCUCGUCGCAUCCUGGGGCUGGAGCAGGUCCCAAGGGUUCGGCUGUUCGCCGAUUAAAGCGGCACGCGAGCUGGGUUCAGAACGUCGUGAGACAGUUUGGUCUCUAUCCUCUGCGCUCGUUGGAAUGUUGAGGAGACCUGCCCAUAGUACGAGAGGACCUGGGUGGACGAACCUCUGGUAUGCCGGUCGUCACGCCAGUGGCGCCGCCGGUUAGCUACGUUCGGAAGGGAUAACCGCUGAAAGCAUCUAAGCGGGAAGCCUGCUCCAAGAUAAGCAUUCCUUGCACUUUAGUGUGUGAGCCCCCAUGUAGAACACGUGGUUGAUAGGCUGGACGUGGAAGCCCUGUAAGGGGUGGAGCUGACCAGUACUAACGGGCGAUGGUGACA